rnacentral:rRNA from 1 species
CACGUAGGGACCAAGCGUUGUCCGGAUUCAUUGGGCGUAAAGAGCUCGUAGGCGGUUCGAUAAGUCGGGUGUGAAACCUCCAGGCUCAACCUGGAGACGCCACCCGAUACUGUCGUGACUAGAGUCCAGUAGGGGAGCGUGGAAUUCCAGGUGUAGCGGUGAAAUGCGUAGAGAUCUGGAGGAACACCGGAUGGCGAAGGCG